rnacentral:misc_RNA from 1 species
ACAAACUUGGUCAUUUAGAGGAAGUAAAAGUCGUAACAAGGUAUCCGUAGGUGAACCUGCGGAUGGAUCAUUACCAAUUUUUAAUUAUUAGUUUUACCUUACACACUUGUGUGGGUAACAACUACUAAUGUAAACGUUGAACUAGAUCAUUGGUUGUGGAUUGCUUGGGAAUGGAAGAAGCGACAAGCCUCUUCCGGACAGGCAAACCCCACACCGAUAACCUUUUCAUAUAAUUUACUUAUAUAUACUACAAACAAACAACAAACAAAAGCUAUAAUAGGAUUUAUAUACAAGUUGAGUGGGUAAAAGCCUCGACUUCAAAAAAUAACUAUUACAACUUUCAGCAAUGGAUCUCUAGGCUCUCGCAUCGAUGAAGAACGCAGC